AUAUCCUCAUUAAGCAUGAAGAGAAAGUAGUACGUCCAGAGGUCUGUAUAAGGUGACCUUUGAAAGUUAACAGGGGUGCCAUGGGCUGAGUAAGAUAAACGGAACUGCUGUUCAACCCCGCCCAGUCUAGGGAUGAGUCAUUGUUUUCAAAUUUAUGAACAAAGCGCACAAAUUAAGAAUAAUACAAGCAAGAAACAGCAGAGACACACAAAAGGACAUAGAAUCCCUGAUUCUCACUGUGAUCUAGUAACACUAGUUCUAGGGCUGGAGAGAGAGAUGCUCAGAACUUAAAAGCACCAAUUUGAACAUGAGUUCAAUUCCCAGAAUCCACAUGGUACCUCACAACUGCCUAUUUCAUACAUGUGUACAGACACACAGGCAGAACACCGAUACACAUACUUUUUUUUUUUUUUUUUAAAGAA
ensembl:processed_transcript RIKEN cDNA 2500004C02 gene